AUUGAACGCUGGCGGCAUGCCUUACACAUGCAAGUCGAACGGCAGCACGGGAGCUUGCUCCUGGUGGCGAGUGGCGAACGGGUGAGUAAUACAUCGGAACGUACCCAGUAGUGGGGGAUAACGCACCGAAAGGUGCGCUAAUACCGCAUACGACCUACGGGUGAAAGCGGGGGACCGUAAGGCCUCGCGCUAUUGGAGCGGCCGAUGUCUGAUUAGCUAGUUGGCGGGGUAAUAGCCCACCAAGGCGACGAUCAGUAGCUGGUCUGAGAGGACGAUCAGCCACACUGGGACUGAGACACGGCCCAGACUCCUACGGGAGGCAGCAGUGGGGAAUUUUGGACAAUGGGGGCAACCCUGAUCCAGCAAUGCCGCGUGUGCGAAGAAGGCCUUCGGGUUGUAAAGCACUUUUGUCAGGGAAGAAAUCUUUCAGGCUAAUACCCUUGGAAGGAUGACGGUACCUGAAGAAUAAGCACCGGCUAACUACGUGCCAGCCGCCGCCGUAA
rnacentral:rRNA from 1 species